AUUCGUUAGCGACGCGUCGACGGGAAGAACCAGACGUGGAAUACCUGCGGUAUUCAUAAAAACGUAGUACCUUCUGUUUGGCUUUUCAAUCGCGACGAUGGCUGCAGCGAGUUCCGCGUGACGAAAUCACGCAGAGAGAAAAAGAGAGAGAGAGAGAGAACAUUGUCGAUAUCAUCGGAGGUUUUUCUGUAUAAUAUAAGCAGAGCAAGUUUUCAAACGCGCGGCCGGACUCUCCGACGUGUUUCAACCCCGACGCUGGCCGCGGUCGCCUGUGAAACGCCGUAAUUCGACUCGGAUCGACGCACUGUUCCAUCCAGGCACGCUAAUUUCUUUCGUGGUCCACUUAGACGCGACGUAAAGCGUUAUCUUUGCCUAGGGAUUCAGUCAAAAUGCAGUUUACUGAGCGAAGAUGGCGGAGUAAAAAAUUUUGAACUACUGCAUAGGGUGCGCGAGACGAUUUCCUGCAACUUUUUCCUUUACAAAAAUUUUGCCCGACGCUUAGUUAACGAGAUAUUAACGGAAAACUACGGGUCAAUCGGAGAGCUGGCUCUUCGGUCCCGAUGUUACCGGCCACUGUCGCGACGAUGACUCAUCGCAUGGUGGCCGCGCGUGCCGCGCUAGGCCGGAGCGCCCCGCGAUGAGUCAUCCCACUACAAUGGCCGCUCCGUUCGGGGUUUUUCGUUGAUAUCUCCGUAACGAAGCCACUUAGAAAAUUUUCGCAAAGGACAAAGUUGCUCCAAAUCAUCUGGAGAAUCGUUUCUUUCUCCAUACGUCAGUGUAUCUCUGUCUGUAGAGUGGCAUUUCUUAUUCCAGACGUCGUCUACAACCUGUUACGCUCUUUAAUAUUAUAUUGUUUACGUUCACAUCGUUUAUAAUCACAUUGUUCACAACCGCAUUAUUUAUAAUCGCAUUGUUUAUGACCAUAAUUGUUCGUUACGGUUUUGAGCAACAUAUGUGUACCGAAAAAUUUGUUUAAAAAAAUCGGAAAAAUCGGGAAAAUUUGCAUCACCAA